rnacentral:lncRNA from 10 species
CGCCCCUCCCCCAGCCUGUCUUCCGCCUUGCAGUUUGAUCUCAGACUGCUGUGCUAGCAAUCAGCGAGACUCCGUGGGCGUAGGACCCUCCGAGCCAGGCAUCAGCUAUCAAAACUUAUGGGAAAUGGAAUUGAAGACAACUACUUCUAGAAUUGGUGCAUGGAAGCUUCUCAUAGGUGAUUAGCCACACUCUUCUUCUGUCAACCUGGUGCAGAAAAGCUUGAAGACCUUGGAAAUCACAUAUUGAUGAUGGAGGAGAUACAAGAAUGAAGGACCCUGGGUUCCUGAAUCAACACUCUAAGAAGAGACUCCUUGAAAUCAAGAGCACUCAUUUUGACAUUGCAAACGGAAAAAUUCACUUCUAUCAGGUGUCAUUAGUUCCUUGCUAGAAUUUCUUUGGUGUCCUUUCUGCAUUUCAAACUCACAAAGGUUCUGUGAAAAGCAAUAUGUUCCCCAGUGGAGCUUAAAGUCUGGUGCAGAAAGCAGACAUUUAACAGAACUAAGCUUAACUCAGAGGUGGGGCAACCUUUCCAACUCAGAAGUCAACAUGAGAAGAAACAGUGACAGUUGUAGGGGACUGAUCGGAGUCAAACCAUAUGCUGUGGCUUUUGCUCCAUGGAAAUCUCAACUAUACUGCAAGAAUAAUUAUUCCUACUUAAUGAAGUUACAGAAGAGAAUGUGGUGCUGGACGGUACUGACUGCAUGGGGAGAGGCCAUACCACAGAAACCUCAAUCUGCCUGAGCCGUGACUCUGAGAGCUGGAGUACCACUGGACAAG